AGGCGGCUUUACCAAAAUGACUUUUUUCUUUAUGAAAAAUCAAAUUUUAAAAAGUGGGAUGAACUUUUGGAAAGGAAAUUAAACAGUACUUAAAUAUACUUUUUUCAAAAUAUCAACAUUUGACUGGCUUGGAAGACAAGGCGCAUAAGGGCAGAUUUUGCUAUUUCGAGAAACAUGUGUUUGAAGUUUCAAAAUUACAUGGAUCCUAAUGGCGGAGAGAAAAUUCAAACUGAUUUUUUGAUGCUUAAAAAUUGGAAUUCGGGAGCGAAUUUUUCACAGAAUAUGCACUAAGACUGGUUUUACUUGAGAUCAUAAAUAUCUCAAUCUCUUAAAAAAACUGCAGUUAUGCGCCUUGUCCUCCGAGGCUCUCAUUUGUAGAGACGUAAAAGAAGUUUAUUUUUUCUAAAAAAUCAAGAUAUAAAGUAUUUAUUUUUCAAAUCAUGUCAAAAGCUGGUAAUAAUGAGACGCGGGGAUGGGGUGUAUAUCCGUCAUUAAGUAAUUAAAAAAGGGGGGUCGAAUGCGUCACAAGAGGAGAGGGACAAGAGGAGCAUCAUGCUAUUCAUGACUGCUCCUUGGCCAUUCGAUGUCUGAAUCUCGGUACGUUACAUAGCAAUCUCCCUAUCUCGACUCCUAAAAUUUCACAUAAUUUGUACUGUUCCUCUCCACAGAUAUUUUCUCAGAAUUCCUGGUUUAGUUUGUUUUAUAGUUUUAUCAAUUCAAUUUGUAUAACACUGGGACAAAAGUAUAGUUGAAAGUGCCCCCCCCCCCAAAUCAUAGACACGGGCGAAACGCCCAGAUUGUGAAGUAAAGCUUGUUGCACCUAAGUCAAUGUGUGUUCUCAAUUGGGUAUAUCAGUGGUGUCUUGUGAGGUCAGAAUUCCGAGAGAGAAUAUUUAAUAAUUUUCAUUGUAAUUGUUUUUCAUUUAUUCAUUAGCUACAAUUUUUGUUCCUUCUUUCCUGUAAACCUGCCUCUUAUUUCAUGUGAGCCGUAUGAUUUAUUUCAUUAUUUUGAUGGAGUAUCUGUGCACAUUGUAUAUUCUACCUGUAUUAAAUACGUUACCUACAUGAAUAAAAAUAAAUCCUAUUUUCAUCGACGUUUUGUUCUGUUGAAACCGUAAAAUUUUUACUAUAUUUUAAAUCCAACCAAACAUAGGAAAAAUUUCUGUUCAAUCAAAGUUUACAAAAUAUUUGACGAGGAUGUUAUUAGUUCUUUUUCCUUUAUAGGAAAUGCAAGGAUUGUGACACGCUUAUUUCUUUGCUAGUGAUUAUGGUAGGUGAACUUUUUCUGUGGUUUUUUAGGUCGAGAAGGAAGCGAAUUAAAGGUGCUUUACCCCGUAUUGACUAAAGCAAUACUACCUUCUAAGCAUUUUAGCGAUGAGAAGAAUCUGGGGGAAAACGAAAAUAAAAAUUAUUUUCCUGACCUAAAUUUUGGGCUUUUUAACCUCGGUCACUAUUACAUCACGAGAAAAUCUAUAAGUUCUUAUCCAAGUUUUUCGGCAUGUAUAGGUGCUACAGCGUUCAGUUCUCACCAAGGUUGCUUGUCAAAGAUAAAUUCCCCACCAACUUCUUGUUAACAAGUGUAAAACUCCUAAUACCCAGUUUAAAUUUAUCAGUUUCGGACAGCGCCGUGCAAAGUUUUGUAUGAGUGUGGAAUCUUCACCUGAAAUUUGCUAUUGUCUCGGUAACUCUCUCCCUUUUGCUCUUUUCCUCGCUCUACAAGGCUUUUUGAAAAAGCGUUACGGACACGGUUUACAUAGAAAGUGUAACAAUUGUCUUACCUCUCGCCUCCAAAAAAGGAACUGAAUAAGCUAUGAAAUACUUCGGAAUUUUAUGCGGAAUAAUCUUGAUAGGGGUCCUACUUGACAGUUUCUCAGUGAAGGCUGAGAAGGCAGGAUAUUGUCCCCCGGCUGAGGUAGACGCUAUGGGAGGCUGUCCAGACCAAUGCUCCGACGAUUAUUCUUGCAAGGGUGUUUCCAAGUGCUGCAAAACCAUUUGCGGAUUAUCGUGUCAGGAACCAAUGAAUCAUCCUGAUUCCUGACCAAAUUUUCAUCGAGUUGACACAGUUCCAUGCCGGGUCAGCCUUCGCUGUGCAUGAGCAGAGAAAAGAUACUGGAAUCAAUAGGCUAAUCUCCUCGACUUCAGAAAGGACACGCCACGCUAGAAGCGCAAAAAUGAUAUUCAGUUAGUUUGAUACUCCCGCGCUUCCGAAAUAACUAAAAGCAAAGUAAGUCAAAGUAGCCACUGAAAAGAAACAUACUGUUGGCCGGUACUAAGUGUAAUUGGUUGAAUUUGCACAAAAAUGAGUUCUCUUCUCUGAUAUGCCGAUUGCCAAAGUAAACCACAUAGGUAUCUCCAUGUGCAACUUUGCAGACUUACUGUCAUACUUUAUAUUUUCCUGGGAAAAUUAUAAUUAACGUAGCCUCCAGAAAACUGUCCAUGAUUCUGUGUAAAUUGCAAGCUGUGAAGUUGGCUUGUUUCUUUUCGAAAAUAUUAAAUAGAAGCGGAAAUGUUGCAACACCGCAAUUGAGAUGUAUAAUUUCCACAAAUUCGUGAUAUGAUAAAUUCCGAAUUUUGGUUUUUUCGCCGGUGAAAAAGUUUGAAUUUGCUGACUUAAAAGCUCUGAUUUCUGACGUAGAGACUUGAAUUGUAUAAUUUCUACCUUAUUGUACAAAAAUGUUGAUAGGAAUAUACAUAUAUUUAGACGCUAAA